rnacentral:rRNA from 1 species
GAUUAGUAAGUCAGUGGUGAAAGCUCCCGGCUCAACCGGGAAAAUGCCAUUGAUACUGUUAAUCUUGAGUACAGUUGAGGUUGGCGGAAUGUAUCAUGUAGCGGUGAAAUGCAUAGAUAUGAUACAGAACACCGAUAGCGAAGGCAGCUUACCAAACUGUAACUGACGCUCAUGCACGAAAGCGUGGGGAGCAAACAGGAUUAGAUACCCUGGUAGUCCACGCUGUAAACUAUGAUCACUCGCUGUUGGCGAUACACUGUCAGCGGCUUAGCGAAAGUGUUAAGUGAUCCACCUGGGGAGUACGAUCGCAAGGUUGAAACUCAAAGGAAUUGACGGGGGCCCGCACAAGCGGAGGAGCAUGUGGUUUAAUUCGAUGAUACGCGAGGAACCUUACCUGGGCUUAAAUGCAGAACGACCUCCCGAGAAAUCGGGACUUCCUUCGGGACGGAUUGCAAGGUGCUGCAUGGUUGUCGUCAGCUCGUGCCGUGAGGUGUCGGGUUAAGUCCCAUAACGAGCGCAACCCUUAUCCUUAGUUGCCAACAGGUAAUGCUGGGAACUCUAAGGAAACUGCCUACGCAAGUAGUGAGGAAGGUGGGGAUGACGUCAAAUCAGCACGGCCCUUAUGUCCAGGGCUACACACGUGCUACAAUGGUCGGUACAGAGGGCAGCUACCUGGCAACAGGAUGCUAAUCUCGAAAGCCGGUCUCAGUUCGGAUUGGAGUCUGCAACUCGACUCCAUGAAGUUGGAUUCGCUAGUAAUCGCGCAUCAGCCAUGGCGCGGUGAAUACGUUCCCGGGCCUUGUACACACCGCCCGUCAAGCCAUGGAAGCUGGGAGUACCUGAAGUCUGUUACC